rnacentral:rRNA from 1 species
CAUGGUCUUAGCUUGCUAAGGCCGAUGGCGACCGGCGCACGGGUGAGUAACACGUAUCCAACCUGCCGUCUACUCUUGGACAGCCUUCUGAAAGGAAGAUUAAUACAAGAUGGCAUCAUGAGUCCGCAUGUUCACAUGAUUAAAGGUAUUCCGGUAGACGAUGGGGAUGCGUUCCAUUAGAUAGUAGGCGGGGUAACGGCCCACCUAGUCUUCGAUGGAUAGGGGUUCUGAGAGGAAGGUCCCCCACAUUGGAACUGAGACACGGUCCAAACUCCUACGGGAGGCAGCAGUGAGGAAUAUUGGUCAAUGGGCGAGAGCCUGAACCAGCCAAGUAGCGUGAAGGAUGACUGCCCUAUGGGUUGUAAACUUCUUUUAUAAAGGAAUAAAGUCGGGUAUGGAUACCCGUUUGCAUGUACUUUAUGAAUAAGGAUCGGCUAACUCCGUGCCAGCAGCCGCGGUAAUACGGAGGAUCCGAGCGUUAUCCGGAUUUAUUGGGUUUAAAGGGAGCGUAGAUGGAUGUUUAAGUCAGUUGUGAAAGUUUGCGGCUCAACCGUAAAAUUGCAGUUGAUACUGGAUAUCUUGAGUGCAGUUGAGGCAGGCGGAAUUCGUGGUGUAGCGGUGAAAUGCUUAGAUAUCACGAAGAACUCCGAUUGCGAAGGCAGCCUGCUAAGCUGCAACUGACAUUGAGGCUCGAAAGUGUGGGUAUCAAACAGG